UAGGGAGGAGCACAAAAUUGUUUCUCCUUGUUUAGAAAUGUAGCGGUGUAUCAGUGCAAGGUUGCGCCUAGAUGCUGGAAGAUGCUUAGUUGUCGAAGUUGAUGCUCAAGUUCAGACACUGCCCAGUUUAAAUUCAGUUAUCAGCGCCUCUGUUCAAGAUCAGACAAGACGCAACAACCCUUGACUCAGUGAUUGACAUGUGUAGCUGAAGUAUUCUAACAGCUGAUGAGGUUGGGCUGCCAAUUUCUUACAUAAUGUGUAUGCUCCGAGAUGUCUCUGGAUGAAAUGAUGUUUGUUAUUCUUGGUCUGGGCCUCAACUAUGAUUUUUUUUUUAUUUCUGUCUCUUGAAGCACUCUGUCUUCUCUAAGACCAAACAUAAAAAUGUGAAGUACUUUCUUUUUGAAGCAAGGAUACAUAAGUGUGAGUUACUUUAUGAUUCCUUAAAAUUCCUAACAACCUGUCCCAUCUUGUUACAGAGCACUGUAAAUCAAGAGCACCAAAUGGUUAUACUUAGUCAACCAGCUAGUCUGGUUCUAGAGUUUUAGUAGUACAAAACAGAAUCAGAAUCAAUACCUACAGAUAAUUAAGCCUAUAUAACACAUGCUCUCCUGCCGUUUCAU
rnacentral:lncRNA from 1 species